AUGAACGCUAGCUACAGGCUUAACACAUGCAAGUCGAGGGGCAGCAUGGUCUUAGCUUGCUAAGGCUGAUGGCGACCGGCGCACGGGUGAGUAACACGUAUCCAACCUGCCGUCUACUCUUGGCCAGCCUUCUGAAAGGAAGAUUAAUCCAGGAUGGGAUCAUGAGUUCACAUGUCCGCAUGAUUAAAGGUAUUUUCCGGUAGACGAUGGGGAUGCGUUCCAUUAGAUAGUAGGCGGGGUAACGGCCCACCUAGUCAACGAUGGAUAGGGGUUCUGAGAGGAAGGUCCCCCACAUUGGAACUGAGACACGGUCCAAACUCCUACGGGAGGCAGCAGUGAGGAAUAUUGGUCAAUGGGCGAUGGCCUGAACCAGCCAAGUAGCGUGAAGGAUGACUGCCCUAUGGGUUGUAAACUUCUUUUAUAAAGGAAUAAAGUCGGGUAUGCAUACCCGUUUGCAUGUACUUUAUGAAUAAGGAUCGGCUAACUCCGUGCCAGCAGCCGCGGUAAUACGGAGGAUCCGAGCGUUAUCCGGAUUUAUUGGGUUUAAAGGGAGCGUAGAUGGAUGUUUAAGUCAGUUGUGAAAGUUUGCGGCUCAACCGUAAAAUUGCAGUUGAUACUGGAUGUCUUGAGUGCAGUUGAGGCAGGCGGAAUUCGUGGUGUAGCGGUGAAAUGCUUAGAUAUCACGAAGAACUCCGAUUGCGAAGGCAGCCUGCUAAGCUGCAACUGACAUUGAGGCUCGAAAGUGUGGGUAUCAAACAGGAUUAGAUACCCUGGUAGUCCACACGGUAAACGAUGAAUACUCGCUGUUUGCGAUAUACGGCAAGCGGCCAAGCGAAAGCGUUAAGUAUUCCACCUGGGGAGUACGCCGGCAACGGUGAAACUCAAAGGAAUUGACGGGGGCCCGCACAAGCGGAGGAACAUGUGGUUUAAUUCGAUGAUACGCGAGGAACCUUACCCGGGCUUGAAAGUUACUGACGAUUCUGGAAACAGGAUUUCCCUUUGGGGCAGGAAACUAGGUGCUGCAUGGUUGUCGUCAGCUCGUGCCGUGAGGUGUCGGCUUAAGUGCCAUAACGAGCGCAACCCUUGUUGUCAGUUACUAACAGGUGAUGCUGAGGACUCUGACAAGACUGCCAUCGUAAGAUGUGAGGAAGGUGGGGAUGACGUCAAAUCAGCACGGCCCUUACGUCCGGGGCUACACACGUGUUACAAUGGGGGGUACAGAGGGCCGCUACCACGCGAGUGGAUGCCAAUCCCUAAAACCCCUCUCAGUUCGGACUGGAGUCUGCAACCCGACUCCACGAAGCUGGAUUCGCUAGUAAUCGCGCAUCAGCCACGGCGCGGUGAAUACGUUCCCGGGCCUUGUACACACCGCCCGUCACACCAUGAGAGCCGGGGGGACCCGAAGUCGGUAGUCUAACCGCAAGGAGGACGCCGCCGAAGGUAAAACUGGUGAUUGGGGUG
rnacentral:rRNA from 1 species